rnacentral:lncRNA from 1 species
CAGGCUCAUGAAGUUACACUAGUUUUAUAUUAGAAUAAAUCGAGUUUCAAUUCUUCCACACUCACUAGCCACUUCAGAUGGUGCAAGGUAUGAGAGUAGAAAAUUUUUAUUUCAUGGUCGGAGUUUCUCUAAUAAGUAAUUCACUAUUCAACAUUUUUUACACAAAUACCCAGCUAAAGUUUCCACUUGAACCAACAUUCAGUUUUACUCAUAGCAGUUCCAAACCCUAAUAACAGCUUUACUACUAUAGUAUGUAACACGUGUCCAAGCUAUUUUCUAUUUAUUAUGUUGCACUGAACUGUGCUUGUUUCACUCUAAAAUUAGAGAAAGAAUCUUGGGAUAUAUUUAUCCAAAUUUUAUUUUGCAAUUUGUUUCCAAAAAUUAUCAUAAUAGUGUUUGAUUAGCUCCUAAGAAUAAUAGAGAAGAAAGGUGGGGACCGCAAUUUUGGAGAGAGAAAGAGGAGAAAGAGAAAGUAAGGACCACUAAAUAGACAAAAGAGAUGGUUUUCAAAGAAUUCCGGGUUAUUCAAAAUCGGAUUUAAAGCUGACGUGGUUUCACAGUUUUUGAAAAAGAUUCCUGUGGGGACCAGUUUUAAGUGAUGUUACCAAGCAUCCAAAAAAGGAAAAAACUGAGGAAAAUUUUGUUUUCCCGAUGUUUUGCAGGUAAACAAGCACAACCAAUCAUUUUAUUUAGAGUUAAUUAGCGAUUGCCCCCAGAUUUGAAAGCCAAAGUUGUGAAUGCCCCCAGAUUUUUUUUUGCUUAGUAAUGCCCCAUAGAUUUGCUUCCUUAUUCUUUUAAUACCAAAACUACCUUUUCAUUUUGCCUAGCCUUUACCCCCAACUCCAUAAAACCACUUUAACUACCAUGUAUGAAAGAAAUUGGUGGUUUUUGUUUUCAACAGUAGAUCUAGAUAAAAAUAAUCGCAGACAUCUCAAGGUUUAUCCUACGAUAAUAAAACAAAAACAACCAAUAACGUGAUGCCACAUGUAAAGUGCUUUACUUUACCAAAUUAAACCUACAAAUCUCUACUAAUUGAACAUCUUCUUCACCCCAUUCCAAUAGCAAAACCCUAACUAUCUUCACCCUUAUUUUCAAACCCUAUCUUCAUCACCUUGACCCCAUCAUUAUCUUUUUUAUGAUCUUAUCAAAUGGCAAGUAUCAUCACUUCUAAAGGUCAAAGGAGAUCCCAACGCCUAGUCUGUCACUAUUUCAAACCAAGGUGUAAUUGAUAUGGCACAAGAUUCUGGUGAAAUUGAGCAAUUGUUUCAAACUUAUAUACACUGAUAAGGUGAAUGGGGAAUAUAAGGUUUACAACGGUAACAUUCGAACACUUUGAUAUACAUACACGAUUGACCUUGAGAUUCGUAUUGAUAGAUCUUUAUGUUGUUGUUUGUUGUUAAAUUAACCUAGAGAUUGAUUUUAAAUCUAUAGUUGGAAAUAAAACCACCAAUUUCUUGCAUACAUGGCAGUUAAGAUAGUUUUAUAGAGUUGGAGGCAAAUGCUAAACAAAAU